UGGGGAAUUUUGGACAAUGGGCGCAAGCCUGAUCCAGCCAUGCCGCGUGCGGGAAGAAGGCCUUCGGGUUGUAAACCGCUUUUGUCAGGGAAGAAAUCUUCUGAGUUAAUACCUCGGGAGGAUGACGGUACCUGAAGAAUAAGCACCGGCUAACUACGUGCCAGCAGCCGCGGUAAUACGUAGGGUGCAAGCGUUAAUCGGAAUUACUGGGCGUAAAGCGUGCGCAGGCGGUUUUGUAAGACAGAGGUGAAAUCCCCGGGCUCAACCUGGGAACUGCCUUUGUGACUGCAAGGCUUGAGUGCGGCAGAGGGGGGAUGGAAUUCCGCGUGUAGCAGUGAAAUGCGUAGAUAUGCGGAGGAAACACCGAUGGCGAAGGCAAAUCCCCCUGGGGCCUGCACUGACGCUCAUGCACGAAAGCGUGGGGAGCAAAACAGGAUUAGAU
rnacentral:rRNA from 1 species